AACGAACGCUGGCGGCAGGCUUAGCACAUGCAAGUCGAGCGCCCCGCAAGGGGAGCGGCAGACGGGUGAGUAACGCGUGGGAAUCUACCCAUCUCUACGGAAUAACGCAUGGAAACGUGUGCUAAUACCGUAUACGUCCUUCGGGAGAAAGAUUUAUCGGAGAUGGAUGAGCCCGCGUUGGAUUAGCUAGUUGGUGGGGUAAAGGCCUACCAAGGCGACGAUCCAUAGCUGGUCUGAGAGGAUGAUCAGCCACACUGGGACUGAGACACGGCCCAGACUCCUACGGGAGGCAGCAGUGGGGAAUAUUGGACAAUGGGCGCAAGCCUGAUCCAGCCAUGCCGCGUGAGUGAUGAAGGCCCUAGGGUUGUAAAGCUCUUUCACCGGUGAAGAUAAUGACGGUAACCGGAGAAGAAGCCCCGGCUAACUUCGUGCUAGCCGCCGCGGUAAUAC
rnacentral:rRNA from 1 species